rnacentral:rRNA from 1 species
GUCACGGCUAACUACGUGCCAGCAGCCGCGGUAAUACGUAGGUGGCGAGCGUUAUCCGGAAUGAUUGGGCGUAAAGGGUGCGUAGGUGGCUUGUUAAGUCUGAAGUCAAAGCCGGCAGCUCAACUGUCGUACGCUUUGGAAACUGGCAAGCUAGAGUGCAGGAGAGGGCGAUGGAACUCCAUGUGUAGCGGUAAAAUGCGUAGAUAUAUGGAAGAACACCAGUGGCGAAGGCGGUCGCCUGGCCUGCAACUGACACUGGAAGCACGAAAGCGUGGGGAGCAAAUAGGAUUAGAUACCCUAGUAGUCCACGCCGUAAACGAUGAGAACUAAGUGUUGGGGGAAUAACUCAGUGCUGCAGUUAACGCAAUAAGUUCUCCGCCUGGGGAGUAUGCACGCA